rnacentral:rRNA from 1 species
UACGGGGGGGGCAAGCGUUGUUCGGAAUUACUGGGCGUAAAGGGUUCGUAGGUGGCCUGCUAAGUCAGACGUGAAAUCCCUCAGCUUAACUGGGGAACUGCGUCUGAGACUGGUGGGCUUGAGUGCAGGAGAGGAACGCGGAAUUCCGGGUGUAGCGGUGAAAUGCGUAGAUAUCUGGAGGAAUACCAGUAGCGAAGGCGGCUCUCUGGACUGUAACUGACACUGAGGCACGAAAGCGUGGGGAGCAAACAGG